UAUCGAUUGAAGACAAAAUGGAAUUGGACUACCCAAUACCGACAAAACGCCAGGAUUUUCAACCAUUGUGCUGAUUGCGAUUGUUCCGAGUGUGAAGUACGGAAGAAAAUGAAUAAUAUGGAGAAACUUCUGGAAGGAAGCUCACACCGAAGAAGAAGAAAGAAGCACGAAGAAGAACGAAGAAUCGGGGAUUCGCAUUAACGACAGGACAUCACGGAAAAGUGUACCUGUUGGUGUUCCGAUAUACUUUCGUUGGGAACUGGAGGAAAUAGUAUCAAUUGAUGUGCUGACUGGAGGUUACCGCUAGAUUUUUGGCGAUGAUACAAAAUCCUCUGACCGAAAUUAGCACUGAUUACAAACAGCCUAAGUAUCGGAUUGCGCCCCAUAUAUCCA